GAUCCUGGGCUCAGGAUGAACGCUAGCUACAGGCUUAACACAUGCAAGUCGAGGGGCAUCAGUUUGGUUUGCUUGCAAACCAAAGCUGGCGACCGGCGCACGGGUGAGUAACACGUAUCCAACCUGCCCACCACUUGGGGAUAACCUUGCGAAAGUAAGACUAAUACCCAAUGACAUCCCACGAAGACAUCUGAAUGGGAUUAAAGAUUUAUCGGUGAUGGAUGGGGAUGCGUCUGAUUAG
rnacentral:rRNA from 1 species